GGAGGAGUGGCCGAGUGGUCGAAGGCGACGGUCUUGAAAACCGUAGGGCGAAAGUCCCGUGGGUUCGAAUCCUACCUCCUCCGCCA
rnacentral:tRNA from 1 species